rfam:Listeria monocytogenes EGD-e, complete genome
AACUAAUAACGUUGCAUAAUAAAACAAAGGAGGAAUGGACGAUGAAUAAUUAUAUGAAGACUUCAAACAAGGCAUUAUUGCGCUUAAAAAUAGAAUUUAUUUCACCGGACCAUUUCGCGAGCAAGGGAACUCUCCUUUAAUUUGGUUUUAUUUUAUACAAAGUGGUGACAAAUAAAUAUAU